GUCCCCUUCGUCUAGAGGCCCAGGGACACCGCCCUUUCACGGCGUAACAGGGGUUCGAAUCCCCUAGGGGACGCCA
rnacentral:tRNA from 1 species